UACGUAGGGGGCUAGCGUUGUCCGGAAUCAUUGGGCGUAAAGAGCGCGUAGGCGGCCAGAUAAGUCCGGUGUGAAAGUCAAAGGCUCAACCUUUGAAUGCCGCUGGAAACUGUCUGGCUAGAGUCCGGGAGGGGCGAGUGGAAUUCCUGGUGUAGCGGUGAAAUGCGCAGAUAUCAGGAGGAACACCAAUGGCGAAGGCAGCUCGCUGGAACGGUACUGACGCUGGAGGCGACGAAAGCGUGGGGAGCGAACAGGAUUGAGAAACCCCCUG
rnacentral:rRNA from 1 species